GAUGAACGCUGGCGGCGUGCUUAACACAUGCAAGUCGAACGAAGCACUUUAACCUGAUUCUUCGGAUGAAGGUUUUUGUGACUGAGUGGCGGACGGGUGAGUAACGCGUGGGUAACCUGCCUCAUACAGGGGGAUAACAGUUAGAAAUGACUGCUAAUACCGCAUAAGACCACAGAGCCGCAUGGCUCGGUGGGAAAAACUCCGGUGGUAUGAGAUGGACCCGCGUCUGAUUAGGUAGUUGGUGGGGUAACGGCCUACCAAGCCAACGAUCAGUAGCCGACCUGAGAGGGUGACCGGCCACAUUGGGACUGAGACACGGCCCAAACUCCUACGGGAGGCAGCAGUGGGGAAUAUUGCACAAUGGGGGAAACCCUGAUGCAGCGACGCCGCGUGAGCGAAGAAGUAUGUCGGUAUGUAAAGCUCUAUCAGCAGGGAAGAAAAUGACGGUACCUGACUAAGAAGCACCGGCUAAAUACGUG
rnacentral:rRNA from 1 species